ensembl:lncRNA
CUGCAGCACUAAUGUCAUGCCAUCAAAAAUGUUGCUUUUUUUUGGCCCCACAGUUGUAGUCCAACAACUCAGACAACUUCUAAUCCAGUGUUCCUUCAUUUAGGCCUGGUGAAACAGCGACCCCCAUUGUUUACCUUCAUGUGUGCCGCCAGUGGAAAUAGAAUGCACAUAUCCAUUGAAGAUGCCUGGAAAAGUCUACAUCAUAUCCCUGCACUCACACACACACUGAAAUGGGGGAAGUCUGGUCCGCUCUGGUCACUUCCUCUUGCUGUACGGAGACCAGUCAGCCAGCCUGGUCCUGAGAUGUGCAGAUGACUUGAUGUGCAUGCUGUUGUGGUGAACCAAAAUGCCUACCUCAUUGCCUGCUUCAAUCUCACUUUAAUAACAAAAAUAGGCCAAGGAGAAGGUUUAAUGUGAAUUAGAUUACAUAGGGAGGAGAGGAAUAAAUACACUGUGACAACACCAUUAUGUACAGUUUUUGGAUAGUGUGUGUAAAUGUUACUGACAUACUGUAACUCACGAUGUACUUAGAUAUUAUCAAUACUAAAGAUGAGUAAUUUCAUAAUUGUAUAUAUUUUAUAAUUUCAGUUUGUGACAAAACAAGCAAUGUAGAGAAUCAUUGUACCAUCUAAACCACUGAAAUAUCAUUUCAAUUUCCAAAGAUAUUGUAUUUUCAGCUGUUUGAAGCUGGUGUACAAAACCGAAAGUAAAAAAUGCAAAGGAAACUUAAGAACAGAAAGCAUAGAAAUAAUGCAUAUAGACUUGCUUUCAAUGAGAAUGACAGAUCUAUAACUAACAUUUCUAUGUGAAUUUGGUCAGUCACCUCAAAAAUUACAUAUUGCAGUUUUAAGCCUAGUCCUGGAUUUACAUACAACCCCUUUGAAUGAAGAAUCUCCCAUAAAAAUGCUUCUUCUUAGUCUAGGACUAGGUUUAAUCUGUGUCCGGCAAACUGGCCCAUAGUGAACACAAGAUGAAACUCUUGAUUCAAAUAGACCUGCACCGUCAUUCAAAUAGCAUGCAUUAGAGAUCCAUGAUUUGUGAAGGUGCAUAAUGUCUGUCCAAUUACAAUUUGUUAAUGUAUAAAUCCUGUAUUAAAUUAGUUCUUUGCCAUUUGUUCUGAAUGUCAGGUUCUCUGAUUCUGUUAAUUGAUACAGAUUUCAACAUACAGUAGAACAAGUUACAUUUCUAAAAGUUCUGACUACUGGUGAUUUCAAAAUGACAACUCUCUCUUAAAAUAAAAGCUUAAAAGGCAAAAAUGUCCUCUGCUCGAAAUAUACUCUCUGAUUAUGCAAUCCCCUACAGAAGGGUAGUAAGCAUACAUCAGCAGUUUCCCAUUUCGCCCACUAGAGGUCCUACUCUUUUCAAAGUGAGAGUAAGAGAAAUGCACAACGUUCAAUGCCAAAUGUGAGAAGUUCCUUGGUUUUAUUGUUGACAUAAUAAUGUUGUGACUCUCUUUUCACGCCACUUCGAUACAUCUAUGACCGGAAGUGAUUUUUCCUAACCCUUUUUCUAACCUUAACCGGGGUAGGCCGUCAUUGUAAAUAAGAAGUUGUUCUUAACUGACUUGCCUAGUUAAAUAAAGGUUAAAGAAAAAUAAAAUAAAACCUAAUUCUCCUAACCUGCUAAAUUAAUUAUCCUAACUUGCUACGUUAAUCCUCCUAACCUGCAAUGCUAAAGAAACUUCCCGUCAUAGCUGUACAAAGUGGUGUGAAAAGAGUGUUUCUCAACAAUGUGUGAACCCGUUACUGUAUCCUGUUUAAAUCCAUGUCACUGUUUUGUUAGUCAUUAGUAAAGCUGCCCUGUGGUCGAAUUAAACACGGAUACUAUUUUAGCUGGAUGUUGAUAUGUUGUCGCUUUUGUUGAUUGCAAAUGUGAAUUUGGAUACAUUGUUAUAGGCUAUAUAUUAUUCGGGGUGGCAGGUAGCCUAGUGGUUAGAGCGUUGGACUAGUAACCAUAAGGUUGCAAAAUCAAAUCCCCGAGCUGACAAGGUAAAAAUCUGUCAUUCUGCCCCUGAACAAGGCAGUUAACCCACUGUUUCUAGGCCGUCAUUGAAAAUAAGAAUUUGUUCUUAACUGACUUGCCUGGUAAAAU